GACGAACGCUGGCGGCGUGCUUAACACAUGCAAGUCGAACGGAAAGGCCUGCUUUCCCUUGUGGAUUGCGGGUGCUCGAGUGGCGAACGGGUGAGUAACACGUGAGUGAUCUGCCCCCAACUUGGGUAUAAGCCUGGGAAACUGGGUCUAAUUCCCGAUAGGACUGCAGGGUGGUGCCUGUGGUGGAAAACGAUUUUCUAGUGGUUGGGGAUGAGCUCGCGGCCUAUCAGCUUGUUGGUGGGGUAAUGGCCUACCAAGGCGGCGACGGGUAGCCGGCCUGAGAGGGUGGACGGCCACAUUGGGACUGAGAUACGGCCCAGACUCCUACGGGAGGCAGCAGUGGGGAAUAUUGCACAAUGGGCGGAAGCCUGAUGCAGCGACGCCGCGUGGGGGAUGACGGCCUUCGGGUUGUAAACCCCUUUCGACCGCGAGGAAGCCACCUGGUUGGAAGGGUGGUGACGGUAGUGGUAGAAGAAGCACCGGCUAACUACGUG
rnacentral:rRNA from 1 species